rnacentral:lncRNA from 1 species
AGUGUCACUUUUUAGUGUUACCAACGGACCAAUAGCUGUAGAAAAGUACUUCCACAAACCAGGGAGCUACCGUACAGUCGUAGCACUUAAAGGGCUCAUAUCAUGCAAAAUCCACUUUUUAGACAUUUUGGAGCGUCCCUAUGACUCUAUGGGUCACAUAUACACACACUGAGCACGGUAGAAAUGCAUUUCCUGCUUUUUUCACAUUUUGAAAACGUAAAUUUUCUCACCCAAUGAAAACAGACCACGACCUACUCUGAGGCCGUGUCCCAGUUGUCGUCACCUUGGUCGGAAGUUCUCCCUGCAAAUCCUGAACCACCACCCCCACAAUGAUCCCGAACCAAAACUGGACUUCCGCCAUUUCUCCCCUCUCACUCACCGUGAACAGACAAGCACGGCAGCGCCCAAGUCCUCCCAUAGAAAUAGUUCGGUUCUUGGGUGUUCUAACCAACACCAAAGUCUAUUCACUUUAACAAGGGAUCAACAAGUGAGGAUUUGUGGGUCACUUUUAUUUUUAACGGACCGGUGCCAGAAACACUGCCUAUACGUAUGUGCAUUUCAAACGAGGGUGCGUACAAUGCUGGAUUUGUUUAACGGCUCCUGUUGGAAAAAAAGGAUCCAUUCCUACAGUCCGUCAUCCACUCACUGAAGUAAGUACAUGCUUGAUAUUUAUAAUGUUUUAAAAUGUUAGUUUGUCCGUUUAAAUGUAGUAACCUAUGUGUGGGGCAAGUUGUGCUCAUGUGGGCUCCUGCAGCCACACACCUGUGUGGAGAAAAGCUAAUGACUAACGGCAUCGAGCGGCUACAGGCAGGGAGCGGUGGGUCUAGCGUCUGUCCUUUUUCUGUAAUCGCAUACACCUGCGGGGAACAGCUGAUCGUUAUCGCCCUUCCAGCGGUGACAGACAGGAAGCAGUGGAUCUAGCUCGCUGUAGUAAGUUUGUGCUUGAUACUUGUGAUAUCUAAAUAUGUUAGUUGGGUCUGUUUAAAAUGCAGUAACCCACGUGUGAGACAAGCUAAUCGCUAGCGUCGCUAAGGGCUACAGUGAGUCAACUGAGCCUUUGUCCCUUUCAAAUGUGCUACUCUGAGUUGGCACCUGUGUGUGUGUGAUGGGCCUUCGAUCGGCGACAGGCAGGAAGCGGUGGAUCGAGCUUUUGUCCUGUUGACGUGCUGCCACUCCUGUUUGUGUUGCGUUAGCCGUUAGCAUGUCUUUAGGCCUUUGCACUUUAGAGCUACAGCUGGUCGAUCGCUACAAAAAGAACCUGCAGAUGAACGCGGUUAUGUUUGUUAUUACCCCGUCCUGUGUCACAGCCUAAAUCAACUUGUGAUUUGGGGUUAUGUCAUUGUUCUAUCAAAUUCUAACAUGAUUAGUUGGAAUGAUUACUGUGUUGUGUUGCAAGCUUAGUUGCUAAUUAGUCACAUCUCUACAAUAACUGCUGCUUAUCUGGUCAGUUACCUAUAGCUUGUACCAUAGCCAUUAUAUUUGUAGACCAAUACAAUUUACAGUAAAUGUAACAGUCUUUUCUAUACUGUAGGGAGGCACAUCCCAGUUACCUACAUGCAAGGAGGCUGUCAAACAGAGAAAUCACUGCAGACUGUUGGUACACAGACAUCUGCUGCCCAGCUCAGGAGUGAAGGUAUGUAAGUUUGUAUGUACCAACAGUAAGAUAGGCAAUAGAAGAUUUUAAUUGGUAUAUACUGUUUAGAUUUUAUAUUUGAAUUGUAACAACUGUUUAUCUGUUGUUUUAGCACAGACAGGCCUGUCCUCUUGUUUGGUUUAAUUUUUUUUUCUGGUAUUGUGUGUUCUUACAUUAGAGAAGGUUUUGACCUACAUAAUAAUGAACAUUUCACUAAUCUACAAUUCUGAUUGCAGUACCUUUUUGUUUCGAUGAGGUGAUGGUGAGGACAGCCACAGCUUCCAUCUGGUAGAGGACUGCUUCCGCUCAGUCUUCCAAAUAGUGAUGAGAACAAGGAUCACCACAUCUCCCUACUUUCAUGCAUUUCGUCUGCAAGGCCCUGCAAAAGCUUCUGUCCUCAAACCCCCAGACUUCUUAAUUAACUCAGUAACCUAUACAUUGCACAUUGGAGUGUGAAGGUAACAGUUUGUUCUAGCUUUGGAGUAGUGGUGUAUUUUUUUGGUUUACAAUAAAGUUGGCUUUAACUAUUAUGUAUUUCA